CGACGCGGAUUACGGUGGCGG
rnacentral:sRNA from 1 species